GAAAAUUCUCGAAGCAAACGCUUCAGAAACACUGUGUGCACCGUUUUUCUGUCUCUGGCAGGGCCAGGGAGCAGCGAUGCUCUCCCCUGCCAAAGGAGUGGGAGCUGCCCUUCGGGCGACUUCCAUUCUGAUUUGAACAAACCCUAUGUUUGCUUCAAUUUGUCUGAAUAAUUCUUCACCUAGUGUGAGAAAUUGAAAA
rnacentral:misc_RNA from 1 species